rnacentral:rRNA from 1 species
CCUACGGGAGGCAGCAGUGGGGAAUAUUGGGCAAUGGGCGCAAGCCUGACCCAGCAACGCCGCGUGAAGGAAGAAGGCUUUCGGGUUGUAAACUUCUUUUCUCAGGGACGAAGCAAGUGACGGUACCUGAGGAAUAAGCCACGGCUAACUACGUGCCAGCAGCCGCGGUAAUACGUAGGUGGCAAGCGUUAUCCGGAUUUACGGGGUGUAAAGGGAGUGUAGGCGGGACUGCAAGUCAGAUGUGAAAACCAUGGGCUCAACCUAUGGCCUGCAUUUGAAACUGUAGUUCUUGAGUACUGGAGAGGCAGACGGAAUUCCUAGUGUAGCGGUGAAAUGCGUAGAUAUUAGGAAGAACACCAGUGGCGAAGGCGGUCUUCUGGACAGCAACUGACGCUGAGGCGCGAAAGCGUGGGGAGCAAACAGGAUUAGAUACCCCAGUAGUC